rnacentral:snoRNA from 1 species
AGCAAAAGACCAGAUGAAGGGAGGAGAAGAGAAGAAAAAAAAAUAACCCUAAUCCGGGCAGAUAAAUAAACAGAAUAACAAAAUAUUGGUAUUGGAGAUAUUGGCGAUAGCAAGAGCCUCUUAUAUCCUGUAUGGUUUCAAUAUUUUGUUAUUCUGUUUAUUUAUCUGCCUGGAUUAGGGUUAUUUUUUUUUUCUUCUCUUCUCCUCCCUUCAUCUGGUCUUUUGCUU